rnacentral:lncRNA from 1 species
AGAGCCAUAUUAUUGUAGUUGGAAGUGCUUCUAAGCAUAUCAGAGUAAUAGGUGGGAAUCAUAUAAACUUAUUGGAGAAAUUCCAGGACAUGAAAUGUAGGAAUGGCCCACAUUUUGGGGUGACAUGAAAAAGAAUAGCAAGUACAUGAAUGAUUUGGCAUCUUAACUUUUUAUGGAAAAAUAUUCUUAUCAUGCGCACUAGAUCGAGCAAGAUUCCAGCAAAAGUGAAAAAAAAUAUCUAUUAGUCAAAAGAGCUGAAAAUAACACAACAGUUUUAAGGGUUUUUUUUUUAGAGAAAAAAAUAGCACAUUAUCUACUUCAUUCAUUAAAGAAAUAAAUUUAGCUACAUAAGGUGAGGCAACACGGGCCUCAGAAGGGUGGAAAAGCAAAAGGACAAAGAUAAUUCGCGGAAAAAAAGAGUAAGAAAAACCAACAAAAAGGUCAAGAUAAGAGCCCCCCAAAAAAAAACUUUUAGGCUGCAUUUGGUUACAAGAUAUAAUGGAAAUAAUACAUUUUAUUCAUGCAAUUCUACCAAACAUAAUUAAAAUUGAAAGGAAUAUUUAAUUCCGGUCAAAACGGAUUAUUCUAGAAUAUUAUAGAAUAAUCCGUU